GCAGGAUCAUAAAUAAAAAAGAUGGGAUUAUUAUAAUGAAAGUGUAUGCUGACAUUAUAAUAAUCUUGUCUAUGUUCUAAAUACAAAAUACCUUCACGAGGUUUAGAAUGAGUGAUAUAAGGAAGUUAUAUUGUCUAAAUUUAUGUAAGUUAUUAAUGAGUUGAUUAGAAAAGGCGUGUGUGGUUAGGUGUAAAGAAGAUUAUUAAGGUAUAUUUUUUUAUAAGGUUUUAAUUUUUUAGCUUUUAGGUUCAAGGAUUGCACACAUGUAACAACACACUAAACUUAUCCA
rnacentral:misc_RNA from 1 species